GACAAUCAUCUCAUUUCUACGCCACACAUCAUCUAAGCUAGCAUAAUAGACCGAAAUCUCACGAUUCUCGAGAGGAGGAUUCGUCUCUUCAAGGACGCUUCCAUAAUCUAGAAUUUCCUCAUGAGUUGGGUAAAAUGAGUAAGCGAUAGUCGGAUUCACGGUAGGCUCUUCAGGACCUUGUGCCGUGGUUUUCCUCUUCUGGGGGUGUGAAUCCUUUGAACCAAGGGGUCUGCCACGCUUUUUGUGUAGGGGCAGAUGAUUGGC
rnacentral:lncRNA from 1 species